rnacentral:antisense_RNA from 15 species
CUUUAUGGUGGCUGUGUGUGGGGAGACUUCGGUCUGCCAGCUUUCGUUUUGACUGGUCUGCUAACCCUGUACGCAGCCACCACCU